ACGUAGGUGGCAAGCGUUAUCCGGAAUGAUUGGGCGUAAAGGGUGCGUAGGUGGUACAUUAAGUCUGAAGUAAAAGGCAGCAGCUCAACUGCUGUUCGCUUUGGAAACUGGUGAACUAGAGUGCAGGAGAGGGCGAUGGAAUUCCAUGUGUAGCGGUAAAAUGCGUAGAUAUAUGGAGGAACACCAGUGGCGAAGGCGGUCGCCUGGCCUGUAACUGACACUGAGGCACGAAAGCGUGGGGAGCAAAUAG
rnacentral:rRNA from 1 species